rnacentral:rRNA from 1 species
AGAGUUUGAUCCUGGCUCAGGACGAACGCUGGCGGCGUGCGUAAUACAUGCAAGUAGAACGCUGAAGAGAGGAGCUUGCUCUUCUUUGGAUGAGUUGCGAACGGGUGAGUAACGCGUAGGUAACCUGCCUUGUAGCGGGGGAUAACUAUUGGAAACGAUAGCUAAUACCGCAUAACAAUGGAUGACACAUGUCAUUUAUUUGAAAGGGGCAAUUGCUCCACUACAAGAUGGACCUGCGUUGUAUUAGCUAGUAGGUGAGGUAAUGGCUCACCUAGGCGACGAUACAUAGCCGACCUGAGAGGGUGAUCGGCCACACUGGGACUGAGACACGGCCCAGACUCCUACGGGAGGCAGCAGUAGGGAAUCUUCGGCAAUGGGGGCAACCCUGACCGAGCAACGCCGCGUGAGUGAAGAAGGUUUUCGGAUCGUAAAGCUCUGUUGUAAGUCAAGAACGGGUGUGAGAGUGGAAAGUUCACACUGUGACGGUAGCUUACCAGAAAGGGACGGCUAACUACGUGCCAGCAGCCGCGGUAAUACGUAGGUCCCGAGCGUUGUCCGGAUUUAUUGGGCGUAAAGCGAGCGCAGGCGGUUUGAUAAGUCUGAAGUUAAAGGCUGUGGCUCAACCAUAGUUCGCUUUGGAAACUGUCAAACUUGAGUGCAGAAGGGGAGAGUGGAAUUCCAUGUGUAGCGGUGAAAUGCGUAGAUAUAUGGAGGAACACCGGUGGCGAAAGCGGCUCUCUGGUCUGUAACUGACGCUGAGGCUCGAAAGCGUGGGGAGCGAACAGGAUUAGAUACCCUGGUAGUCCACGCCGUAAACGAUGAGUGCUAGGUGUUGGAUCCUUUCCGGGAUUCAGUGCCGAAGCU